GACGAACGCUGGCGGCGUGCCUAAUACAUGCCAGUAGAACGCUGAAGGAGGAGCUUGCUUCUCUGGAUGAGUUGCGAACGGGUGAGUAACGCGUAGGUAACCUGCCUGGUAGCGGGGGAUAACUAUUGGAAACGAUAGCUAAUACCGCAUAAUAGUAGAUGUUGCAUGACAUUUGCUUAAAAGGUGCAAUUGCAUCACUACCAGAUGGACCUGCGUUGUAUUAGCUAGUUGGUGGGGUAACGGCUCACCAAGGCGACGAUACAUAGCCGACCUGAGAGGGUGAUCGGCCACACUGGGACUGAGACACGGCCCAGACUCCUACGGGAGGCAGCAGUAGGGAAUCUUCGGCAAUGGACGGAAGUCUGACCGAGCAACGCCGCGUGAGUGAAGAAGGUUUUCGGAUCGUAAAGCUCUGUUGUAAGAGAAGAACGAGUGUGAGAGUGGAAAGUGCACACUGUGACGGUAUCUUACCAGAAAGGGACGGCUAACUACGUG
rnacentral:rRNA from 1 species